AGUUAACUUUGAGACUUAACUCAGUUACCAAACCGUAUGUAUGAUCUUGUGCUCAGCGGCGGUGUGUUGCAUUCAGAUGCUUCGUGGGGACAUUAGCCGCAACACGCUCCUCGCCCUCAUCAACAAAGCUUGCACCUUCCCGCACCUUGCCGAAACCCACGCGCAGCUCAUCCGCAACGGUUACCACCACGACCUCGCCACCGUUACCAAGCUCACCCAGAAGCUCUUUGACGUAGGCGCCGCGCACCACGCACGUGCCCUCUUCUUCUCGGUUCCCAAGCCUGACAUCUUCCUCUUCAACGUCGUCAUCAAAGGCUUCUCCUUCUUCCCCAACGCUUCAUCCGUUUCCCUCUACACCCAUCUCCGCAAAAACACCAGCCUCUCCCCAGAUAACUUCACCUAUGCCUUCGCCGUCGCCGCUUGCCCCGACGACAAGCUCGGCAUGUGCUUGCACACGCAUGCCGUCAUCGACGGCUUCGCCUCGAAUCUCUUUGUGGCCUCCGCGCUCGUUGACGUGUACUGUAAGUUUUCUCGUGUGGGGUAUGCCAGGAAGGUAUUUGAUAAAAUACCUGACAGAGACACCGUGUUGUGGAACACCAUGAUUACUGGAUUGGUGAGGAACUGUUGUUAUGAUGAUUCUGUUCAAGUGUUUCGGGACAUGGUGGCGCAAAAGGUGCAGUUGGAUUCCACCACGGUGGCUACUGUGCUUCCGGCUGUUGCAGAGAUGCAAGAGGGGAAAGUUGGGAUGGGGAUUCAGUGUUUGGCUUUGAAACUUGGAUUUCAUUUUGAUGACUACGUGUUAACGGGUUUGAUUUCGGUUUUUUCAAAAUGUGGGGAUGUUGACACGGCCAAGUUAUUGUUUGGGAUGAUUAAGAAGCCGGAUUUGGUUUCUUACAAUGCCAUGAUUUCUGGGUUUAGUUGUAAUGGUGAGACUGAGUGUGGGGUGAAGCUUUUUAGAGAAUUGCUUGUUUCUGGGGAGAGAGUGAGUUCUAGCACAAUGGUUGGGUUGAUUCCUGUGUCUUCUCCCUUUGGGCAUUUGCAUUUGGCUUGCUGUAUUCAGGGGUUUUGUGUGAAGUCCGGUUUUAUUUUGCAUCCUUUGGUUUCAACUGCACUCACGACUAUAUACAGCAGGCUCAAUGAAAUAGAUUUGGCACGGCGGUUGUUUGACGAAUCAUCGGAGAAAACCGUGGCUGCUUGGAAUGCUAUGAUUUCAGGUUAUACACAGAAUGGUUUAACGGAGACUGCUAUCUCUCUUUUUCAGGAGAUGAUGGCGACUGAUUUUAUUCCGAAUCCAGUCACCAUCACGAGUAUUCUUUCAGCUUGUGCUCAAUUAGGAGCGCUGAGUUUUGGUAAAUGGGUUCAUCAGUUGAUUAGAAGCAAAAACCUUGAGCCAAACAUUUAUGUUUUGACUGCUCUGAUUGACAUGUAUGCCAAGUGUGGGAAUAUUUUGGAGGCUUGGCAAUUAUUUGAGUCGAUGAGUGAAAAGAAUACCGUCACUUGGAAUACUAUGAUUUUUGGUUAUGGGCUUCAUGGAUACGGGCAUGAAGCACUUCAGCUUUUUAAUGAGAUGCUGGAAUUGGGAUUUCAGCCAUCAAGUGUUACUUUUCUUUCAGUCUUAUAUGCUUGCAGUCAUGCUGGCUUGGUAAGAGAAGGAGAUGAAAUAUUUAAUGCUAUGGUUAAUAAAUACAGGAUUGUGCCCUUAGCUGAGCACUAUGCAUGCAUGGUGGAUAUUUUGGGACGAGCUGGACAGUUACAAAAAGCCUUAGAAUUUGUAAGGAGAAUGCCUGUUGAACCAGGACCUGCAGUAUGGGGUACAUUACUCGGUGCUUGCAUGAUUCAUAAAGACACGAAAAUAGCCCGUGUGGCUUCAGAAAGGCUAUUUGAACUGGAUCCAGGGAGUGUAGGAUACUAUGUCUUACUUUCUAAUAUAUACUCUGCAGAGAGAAACUUCCCAAAGGCUGCUUCAGUAAGGGAAGUAGUUAAAAAAAGAAAACUAUCAAAGACUCCAGGGUGCACUCUAAUUGAGGUUAAUGGGUCCCCACAUGUCUUCGUAUCGGGUGAUCGUUCUCAUUCUCAAGCAGUAGCUAUCUAUGCAAAGCUGGAGAAGUUAACGAGUAAGAUGAGAGAGAUGGGGUAUAAGCCGGAGACAGUUACUGCUUUGCAUGAUGUGGAAGAAGAAGAAAAGGAACUCAUGUUUAAUGUUCAUAGUGAGAAACUAGCUAUUGCUUUUGGCCUUAUUACCUCUGAACCUGGUACUGAGAUCAGGAUAAUCAAGAAUCUUCGGGUUUGUUUAGAUUGUCACACUGCUACUAAGUUUAUUUCAAAGAUCACAGAAAGAGUAAUUGUAGUUAGGGAUGCCAACAGAUUCCACCAUUUCAAAGAUGGGACCUGUUCUUGUGGUGAUUAUUGGUGAAGCUGAGCAAAUAUUUUUUCAGUAAGUUACAUUUGACAGAUGCAUCAUAAUCCAAACUUUUGGUUUCAUAUUCUUUACCUUACAACAACAUAUAUCCGGAGUCUAAAUCCUCUUGUGGUCAUCCACUUGAGAAGCGAAAAACAUCACAGAAUUGGUUGAAUGGAGUUUUUUAUAGUCACAUCUCUUUUUGCCAAAUUAGCCCUGCCACAGUACCCUCCAAAGUCACAGUCACGGUCACAAGCCCAGCCCGAGCCUCAGCCACUCCCCCAGCCACAGCCCAGCCCAGCCACAACCCAGCCCCAGCCCAGCCCUUGCCCCAGCCCCAGCCCAGCCUCAGCCACAGCCCUAGCCCUAGCCCCAGCCCAGUCUCAGCCUCAGCCACAGCUCAGCCCCAGCCCCAGCCCCAACUGCAGGCACAGCCCAGCCCCAGCCGCAACUGCAGGGCUGUUAAUUAACCUUUUCAAAUUUAAAUUCUUUCCACAAGUGAGAAAGUUUCUUUGCCUCUAUCAAGUUCUCUCAGUAUUUUUGUUAUGCUGUUCCUUUUUGUGGUGCUUUAGUAAGUAUCUUCUGUAGAUCGCAGUUAAAAAACUUUAUGUGCUGUUUAAAGUGUUGAUUGUGAAUAAAUGUGAAGUAAUAAUGAAUUAAUGUAUGUGUUUGGCUCAAAGGAAAACAAAGCGAAGGAAGGAGGACAUGGAUGAUUUUUCUUUUUUCUUUUUAUUUUAGAGAUGACGGGGCUAAAAUCCCACCCUUCCCAUUUUUGUCUCCCCUUUAAGUGUUGGAGGGGAGUUGUUUUUUAAUUUUUGGAACGUGUUGAUUAAAUUAUUCAUGAGGUUUGUCCUCUCCUUUCCAAUAAUUCUUAUAAAGGCACAACAUGGUACAAUUGUUUUCUCUCUCUUCCCUUGCCAUGGAGACUCCCCUGUCUUCGACCAAACCAAACAAGGGGGAAGCGCUCCUUCCUUUCUCUCCUCGCCUUUGAAUCAAACAUCAAAGCAUCACAUGUAGCACUUUUGUUCCUAAAUUUGUUUAUUAUGCAUUUUAACAUUAGGUAUCUUGGUGUCAAUUCCCGUGCUUGUAAUUUUUAGAAACAUCAAAUAUGAAAGUUCGUGUUAGCGUUAAUAUGUUAAUUUUUGAACUUAAACCCAUGCUGGCCCUUGC